AAUGAACGUUGGCGGCAUGGAUUAGGCAUGCAAGUCGAGCGAGAAGGGUUUUGAAGCUUGCUUUGAAACCCGGAAAGCGGCGCAAGGGAGAGUAACGAGUAGUUAUCUACCCCAAGGCCCGGAAUAGCUGCGGGAAACCGCAGGUAAUGCCGGAUAAUAUCCCCGGAUCAAAGGUGUGAUUCCGCCUUGGGAGGAGACUGCUUUGUACUAGCUAGUUGGUAGGGUAAUGGCCUACCAAGGCUACGAUGCAUAGCGGGCGUGAGAGCGUGGCCCGUCUCACUGGGACUGAAACACUGCCCAGACACCUACGGGUGGCUGCAGUCGAGAAUCUUCGGCAAUGGGCGAAAGCCUGACCGAGCGAUGCCGCGUGCGGGAUGAAGGCCCUCGGGUUGUAAACCGCUGUCGUGGAGGAGAAAGGUCUGAUGAAGAAUCAGAUUUGAUCUAUUCUAGGAGGAAGUCCGGGCUAAGUUCGUGC
rnacentral:rRNA from 1 species